rnacentral:lncRNA from 1 species
AUAAAGGUGUGCUUACUUGGACAUUCCUCUUUGCUCCUAGUGUCGUAUUGUCUAUUUCAUUUGUCCUCUGGGGUGUAAUUGAAGGGUCUUUGGAAGAAGUGAUCAUGUGUGUGACUGUUAAUCUUCUGAGGAUUGUACUAGUUCCGACUUUCUUCAAUGUGAAGAACUCAGUUUUCAUCGGUUUCUCAAUAAUUCAUUUUGUUGUGUUAACUGAGAUGUGGUCUGUUCCUCUGUGGGAGUAUUUCAAGAGCCACACACCAGACACAGCUGUUACAGCAGGUAUUGGACUGGCCUGUGCCUCAUCACUGCUCUCCUAUCUCUGUGGGGUUUUUAUUCAAGGUAAGAACACCUGCUUUCUCAGAUCCAGGAGAGAGAGAUUCGGUGUGAAGAGCUCAGAUCUAGCCUCUCUCCUUGCUAGGUUUCAGUUCCAGAACACAUGGAGCGAUGUGAUGGAGAUACAGUAGAGAAAGAAUCCCAGACUGCACUGGGAGGGAUGAGAACAGACUCUCACAAUCUCUCUCCGACAGACACUCGAUAAGAACAAGGAGUUUUCUAGAGAAUCACAGGAAGCAGCUGGAUCUCUUACUGAUACAGUCCUGCUUUAAUUCAACAUAAAAUUAAGCUCAGG